CAUGAAGCUGGAAUCGCUAGUAAUCGCGAAUCNGAAUGUCGCGGUGAAUACGUUCCCGGGUCUUGUACACACCGCCCGUCACACCAUGGGAGUCGGAAAUGCCCGAAGUCAGUGACCUAACCGAAAGGGAGGAGCUGCCGAAGGUGGAGCCGGUAACUGGGGUGAAGUCGUAACAAGGUACC
rnacentral:rRNA from 1 species